rnacentral:lncRNA from 1 species
UGCAAGCACCUUCAGACAGCAUAUGUCCCAUUUCAGAUCUCUCAAGGGGUCCUUAAGGACUAACAUGUCCCUGCAUCUCGCUCUGGAAAGCAGCAGUGAGGCAGUGCCACAUCCUGCCCUGCCAUGUCCACUACAAAGGAGACCUUUUGAGUCACAGUUUAGCAACAGUGAGUGUAAAUUUCCUAUCUGAAGUGGAAUUAUUUGUAGUAUAAAAGCAUUAACAUGUUUUGCAAUCCACACAGUAGAUCCUGGACAGAGACUCACACACCUUUGCACUCUGAUAAGGAGAAUAUUAUUACCCUCCUAGUGGCCUGGCCAGAUAAGAGGUUUGGGGCGGGCAGUCUGCAUUUUUUUCAAGCUCUCAUUAUGCUGCACCAGUAGCUCCAGAUGCUGUUUCCAGGGAACUAAGCUGCUUUCUAAUUAAAACUGCAAAGAGCAAUGGAGAGUUUAGGCAAAGACCAUGCUUCUUUGGACUCUUCCCUGCCACCCUCUGCAGCCUGUGAGGAGUAUGCUGUGCCAGAUGUCAUCAUAACCCGUCGCUUGAGAGACCGGGAGUUGCUCAGGAAAAGAAAAGCAGAAGCCCUGGAGAAAGAUUCAGCUCACUGGGUUCUGAGAGACUAUAAGACCGAACAGCAAAGGAGAGCCAGAAGAGCCAAAAGAGGACGGGGCCGUCAGGCAGUGGUCAAGGCUGUCCUGGAGACAGAGCCAGGAGUGGACCCCCAGCCUGACCCACAGGAGAAGGCUGAGCCAGUGCCCUCUGAGCCAGUGCCCUCUGAGCCAGAGCAGCCACCUACGCUGACCAUCCAGAACAUGGUCGGUGGGAUGCAAGCAGUGGCAACGGAAGAGGAGCUGGCAGACGGGAGCUUGGACCCUGCUGGUGAGGAGGAUGUGCUGAAACCAGCAGAAGCAGAUAUACUAGAAGAGUUGAAUACUCCUCUGGGAAAGGACCACCAGGACAACGAAUUUAACGCACAUAUUCUGUAUUAACUUUCUGAUUACUUGGGGAUAUUUUUUAUUUUGACUCUUGCCUCACCAACUUGAUAAGUAUGGCAAGUGAUUUUGAGCAGCUGCUUUCUGGGGAUUCAUAAAGCCCAUACUCUCCUUGUCACUCUGCUUUCUAUGCUUCUUCCAGGCUAAGGAGGCAGCCCCUAGGGAGUUGCCUGUGGCUCGUGAGCCCCCCGCUCUCUCUGCAAACAAGCUGUUUUACUUGGGCCCAUGGAAGGCUCCACGCUGCUCUGCUAUGCUACAGUUCAGUCGUACAGCCCAGCAUCCAUCUGUGUUCCUGAAAGUCAUUUCUUAUUUGUGUGAGUGGCAUUGCAGAGCUAGGCACCCACUGUGAUUUUUAGCCAACUGGAGAAGCCCAGCUUGGGCUUUUUACUGCACCCUAUAAACCCCAACACUCUUUGCACCAUUAUUUUUAGUCUGAAAGUUUUUCUCAUAGCCUGUUUUUCUCUGCAAUAAACAUCUUGCUUUUCUAAAGCUGGAAAUAGUU